rnacentral:misc_RNA from 1 species
CGUGGCCCUACAGCUUCAAAAUUAGCCAUAUUUCUUGUUUACGUACGAACCCUUAUGCAGUGGCUGCGCCAAUUGUGUACCAGACCCCAGUCAUCCCUGUGGACAAGCAAUGCUGUUGAAGGCUCUUCCAAACACUUGAUGCAACCCUCUUCAUGUGCUGAUUGAUUGUGUCACCCGAGUCAUCAUUUCGCUGACGUUGCCUCGAAGCCAGAGAAAAUUUUAUCCAUGUCUUCAAAAUAGGGCCAUCCUUCCCGGCUUUUGUUGUCACUCGUGCUUUCCUCAUAUUUCUGAACUAGGGAUGCCCACAAAGAUUUGCAUUGCCCAGGACUUCGAUCAACUCCUUCAGCUAUCAAGUUAUUAGAUAGCUCUUCCCAGAGAGCCAUUCGCCCCUUUACAACAUUAAAUCUAUCAUGUAAAUCCCCACGCAUUUUUAUCAGCUUUUUCACCUCCUCGGUUUUCCAUUUGUUCCUUUUCACCUUCUUGGAAGGCUUUGAUCGAGAACUUUGCAUUGCCAAAGAGUCAUCAUCACUGCUCAUAUUACCAUCUUCCUUGAGCUCAUUUACAUGUUCAUGUUGUUGAACUGAAUCGUCAGUGGGUGAAGAUGAUGAAAUGAAUGAUUUCCAGAAAUCAUCUUCAUCCUCAGAGCCAGAGGG